rnacentral:rRNA from 14 species
GCCUCCUAAAAGGUAACGGAGGCGCCCAAAGGUUCCCUCAUCCUGGUUGGUAAUCAGGUGGUGAGUGUAAGUGCACAAGGGGGCUUGACUGUGAGACUGACAGGUCGAGCAGGGACGAAAGUCGGGACUAGUGAUCUGACGGUGGCUUGUGGAUGCGCCGUCACUCAACGGAUAAAAGGUACCCCGGGGAUAACAGGCUGAUCUUGCCCAAGAGUCCAUAUCGACGGCAUGGUUUGGCACCUCGAUGUCGGCUCGUCGCAUCCUGGGGCUGGAGUCGGUCCCAAGGGUUGGGCUGUUCGCC